CUACAUCAUUGCUAGGUUCCCAAAAUACAUACACUUUACUAUUUAGUGGAACAAGAGUCCAAAACACAUCAUAAUAUGACUGACUGUUACAGUACCCAUACACUACCCACAUAAUGUCUACAGAGCUUCUAAAGAUACAAAAGAUAGUUAUGAUAAUGUCGGUGGUAAGGCCCUGACUAUGCCUAAAAUGUGGUAAAAAUAUGAACAAGAGAUAUAAUACAUGACCCCGGGAUAAAAUGGGGCUCAACAAGACUGCUGAGAAGAGGAUGCACCACUAGCUAUGAUCAACACUGUCUGCUAUGGAACCACAUAUAUCCAUUUAAAGAUGUAGUGCCCCCUGAAAAAGGGACGUUAGUACUGUCAAAUAAUACUAGCAUAUAAAGCUAAAACACCAUCUUAAUAGAAUGAACAAUGAUACAAAGGGGAAGGUAAGCACUCCCGUCCCCAUGAAUUACCUUACUAAUGCCCCAUUCUAGCUACGUUUUGAAAUUAGGAGUUUGGGUGAUAAAGCCUUACCGUUUGGGAAGAAGAUCUAGGUUGCUCUCCUUGAUAGUCUUCAAAGUUUUAAGAAAGAAUUGAAGAGUAGUUGAUGAAGACUACUUUCUCACUCUGGGGCUCUUUCUCUCACUCCAUAGUAUCAGAAAAUGAGCUUAAAAUAGACUAUGGCAUAUGUUUUAUCGACAUAGGAUCGGGAACUAGUAUAUUCUACUUUGAUCUACGACUAGUCUGCAGUUGCAUGAUGUGCCAUAGAACCACCAUUUGAGAAAUCUCGAGGCUGGAUAUGCGAUCAAAGUGCAGCCUGCGAAGUAGUUCUGUAAUCACAUAAUGGGCCGCAAAAGUGACAUAAAAAAUGUCCCAAAUGAGUGCCUCACUCUGCGGCUAUUCUGCGGCCCGCAGAGUGGGCUGCAGAGAUGUCUUAUUCUGCUAACAUUUUUCUUUAACUCCUCGAUGUUAACCUUUAACACAUAAGCCUAACUCGGCACCACGAAAUUAUGGGUUUGUAAGUAAAAUUUUAUGGGGCCUUACAAUCUCUUAUGGGAUCGGGCCAUUCGUCUCGGCAUGAUAUUAUAACACACUCUUAUGGGAUCGGGCCGUUCGCCUCGGUAGUUUGAUGUAUCAUAUUCUUAUAGAAUGAGGCUGUUCGCCUCGACAUUUCUAUGAAACACUCUUAUGGGAUCGGGCUGCUCGCCUCGGCAGAAUCAUGCGAAUACUUGAUAAGAAGUCUGCGUACUCAUGAGUUUCCUGACUUGAGAUAUGAACUUGAUUUGGUAUUGACCAUUAUAUAUUCCCUUUGAGGAGGUAUCCGAUAAUUGAGUAAUUUGAGUUCACCAUUCAACUGUAAACCGUAUUAUUUGCCUAUAUCUGUAAUCAUUGUUUACUUACCAUGUUUGAUACUGUCUACUUUAUUAUAUAUGUUUUACUAGACCACUAGUAAGUGUCAAUAUUGACUCCUUAUCACUAUCUCUUUGGGGUUAGGCUAGAUACUUACUGGGUACUUGAUUUACGUAUUCAUGUUGCACUUCUGCACUAAAUGUACAUGAUUUGACAGUGAUUUGGUGUUCUUUUGGGCGCGUGGGUGCAACUAUUGAGGGGACUUUAUGGCGAGCUGUAUUUCUAUGCUACGAUUUGCAGCACGCAGAGUUUCUAUCAUAUUUAUUUACUUUAUCCUGUCUAUUUUGUAUUCUAUACAGAUGUUGUAUUGUUAUUGUAUUUUCUAGUAGAUGCUCAUGUAUUUGUGACACCAAAUUUUGGGGGUUCCUAGUGGAUGAUCAUUAUUGUAGUUCACGUUAUUUUUAUCAUUUCACAUUUUGAUUUAUUUACAUUAUGAAAUUGGUAAAGAAAAGCAUAGGUUCCUAUGAUUGCCACGUUUUAUUCUAUUUAUUUAAUAAAAUUUCUGAUUUUAAAAAAAAUUAAAAAUGGAUUUGCCGAACAACGAUGUUGGGUUUCAUCAUGACCUAUAAUGGGUUUUGUGUCAUGACAAUUCAGGAAUAAGAGACAAAAGAAGAGCUUUUCUCAUUCACUCCCGCGUGCACACAAGAGAGUGAACAAGCUAGCUGAGGGGAGCUUGAAAACAAAUCAGCGGAUUAUGGCAAAAAGGGAUGGAAGUGCACGAGAGACCUAGAAGGAAAAGAAAAAGAGAAGAACUUCGCUCGUUCACUCUCGCGUGCGCACGGGAGAGUGAACGAUCUAACCUAAAAAGACUGUUCCGAAGUGGGCUUGUAUUAUUUCGCCCCAUGCAAACCCUAUCACAUAUAAAUAGUCCUUAAAUUCACUUUAGGAGGGGAGAUUCGAUCUAAAGAGGCAAGAACACACUAAGAGCAACGCAGAGAAUUCUUCUACGAGUUUUUCACUUUCUUCUUCCUGUUUUCAUUAUUGGUUAUGAAUUCUAAUAUUGUAAUUUUACAUACUUUUAUGAGUAGCUAAUUAUGCUAUCUAGGGUUUUUAUGGAACCUUUUAUAGGAUGAAUUCUUGAAGUGUUUUGAUAUAAUUGAGUCUUUGAAUUUUUCUAUUUGUUCAACUACGUGCUUAUUUUAGUUAAUUGAAGAGCUCUCAAUUAACGGUUCCUAUUUAUUAUAUAUUGCUUGAAAAAGAGUACAUAUUUAGGUGAUUGUUGAACAACGUCACUCCUAACUUAUACGAGAGAUCAAUACAACGAGUUUAAAAGCGGAUUAGAGAUAACGAAGCUUGACAUGAUCAUAGUGAGCGAUGAAAAAGUGCGAGCUAGCGUAAUUCGAGAGAAUAUGACUAGUACAUUAUUGUAGUUGCUCAAGAGAGAAUUACGAUAAGCAAAGUUCUCAGAUAAGUAGAGAAUACUUAGGCGAUAUUAUAGGAGACAUAGCGGGAAGGAUUCUGAAAAUUGAGGAAAUCAUAACUCUAGACCUCCUUAAUCUUGUCUCAAAAUGAUCACUUUCAUGGUUGUGUUUAUAUUUCUUAUCUUCCCCCAACCCCUUAUUAUGAUGGUCUACAUUUUCUUGUGAAGUUAAUAGGAAUAAAGAACCCAAGGAUGAUGACCUAAAAGAGAUCGAGGAUAUGCAGAGGUACCUUGUGGGAAAAAAUAAUGAGAUACAACUGCAUAUAUAGAGGCAAGAGACAACUAUUCUCAACUUGGAGGCUCAAAGUCAACUAGUUGAAGCUUUUAAUGCUCAACAAGUUAAUAUUAUGGAUAGUAGUCAGGAGCAGUGUGCGUUUGAGACAAAAAUUGAGGUGCCAAUGGAGGGAUACAGAGUAGAACACCAACACUUUAACCAACUACAAUUUGAUGAUGUCAAUAUUGAAGAAAUAACACUAGAGCCAGGCAAGGAGAUUGAGGAUACAAAUUUAGUUGACACUAGUGUAAUUUGUGUCAAGGAGGCUGAAAAUCUUGAAGUUCAGGUAUUUGAGCGUGUCAGACCUUAUUCCAAACAUUUCUCUACAUUAUGUUUGGAUGAAUUUUCAAGGCCGUCUAAGCAAUGUGACAUUCCUCGGUCGAGAGCCAAAAAGUGCAUGAGAAUUUAUUUAAUUUUUGGCUCACAAGAAUUUGUACCACCCAGGAGCAUAAUCAUAAGCUUGAAUCGAAGUUGGGGAUCCAAUUCACAAGUUCGAGGUGGAGACAAAAGGUGAUUCACGUCGUGCCGCGACGUUAAAUCAGGCGCUUGUUGGGAGGCAAACCAACUUUCCUAUUUUAAUUGAUUUUUAUUUUUUAUAUUAUUUUUAUUGUGUUAAUUUUUAGUAUAGUUUAUGAUUUUCUAGGAGCAUGAGAAACAAAUCCAUUGGAAGGAAGCAAAAGAAAGUAAUAUGGUUGGAACUAAGUAUAGGGUGCCUACAUAAAGUACUAAUGCGCUGGAGAAGUCUGAGUAUCCCAUGAGCUGCUAAUGCUUCGACCUUUGGCCUACUAUGGAGUUUCUUUUACCCUUCUUAUUAUUUAUGGUGUGCAUUAGAGACAAUGCACAAUUUUAAGUGUGGGGUGGGAGAAGGCUGUCUGGGUGAUUUCUUGUGAUAUGUUAUGUAUGUAAAUAUAUAUAUAUAUAUAUAUAUAAAUAAUUAGGUAGAAAAAAUCCCUCUUGGUUUUUCUUAUGGCCACGGUUCUUUUCUAAGGGAUGACUCUUUGAACUGGGCAGUAGUUCUUUUUAGGUAGAAUUUUCAUAAAAGUUUUGGACUUCUCCCGACGAUGAACUUCUUUGAUAGUUUUCUUGAGGGAUUAAAAUCUAAAGAAAAAUACAAAAAGAUUUUCCUUUUUCUUUCUUCUGUAGAAUUGAUAAUGGAAUGGAAGAACUUGAGUAUAAAUACUUUUGACAUGCUUUAUGCCAGGACUUAGAGCAGUAAUAUUUGAGAUGAUUAUCUUAUUCGUGUUCUAUGUGCCCACAUGCCUUGAGAAUAUAUGUGGCUUUAUUUUGACACGUAGGUUCAUCUUUGGACUCCUGUGAUUACUUCCAUGUGUAAUUUUCUUAAAAAAUUACUCGUUGAGAUGGGGAACACACGCAACGCACGUAUACUAAAACUAAUCUUUUCUAAAUAAGGAACGGGCCAUAUUAGAAGUAUGUAACUAAUCCCGUUAUAAGUAAACAUUUUCCAUGAUCUCCCUGAAUAUAUAUCAAAAGUGUUACUAAUGCUUUUGUAAAGGGAUUUUUUGUUCCCACAUCUUAAUUCAAACGUAUUUAGGGCAAAAUACAUAAGUUGCCACCUGAGCUAUGGACCAAAUUCCCCUUACACACUUUCUGUGGACGAUAAUAAUAUUACACACGCAACUAUUCUAAAGCGUAUCUAGUACACACCUUCUUUGACCAGGUCCCGUAAAAAAUUUAUCCGUGUAAUUCACGCGUUUGACUUUAACCAUUUGAGAAUUAUUAAACUUGACCUAUUAUUUUUAACCCUUUAUGUUUAUGACCCAUCCCGACCCAUACGGUAAAAAGGGUUGACACUAAUUUACCCCAAAUUAACUCUCAUUUCGCGAUUCAUAUCCAAGGUAUUAUGUUGAAGGCGAUUCCAGUGACUAUCUCAAGCGCGACUUUCAUCUUGUAUGUGAGGUGUCUUUAUGCGAUUUAAGCUUCGUAAUUUUCUUCCCCUUGCAUUACAUGUUUGUGUUGGUAGUGGGUGUGUUGAACCUAGGGUUUUUUAGAAAUUUCUUCUAUUUGCUCUAGGGUUUUGAAAUUUUUAAAAGGGGAAUCUUUUGUCAUUGUCGAUAUUAUUAUGAAGCUGUCGUAUUGUUGCCUUUACAUAGAGUUUUCUAUAAAGAAAUUUACUUUAUGUUUAUAAAUCGUGUGUAAAGUUAGGUUUUAUGUGAUUAUUAUUGUCAUUUCCCAAACUUAAAGAGGCGUGGACGACACCCGAUGCCAUACUCGACCCGAGCAUACCACUUUGUAACUAUAAACUCUAGAGGGGUAACCCUCAACUUAGACCGAUGAGGCCAUAUUCCGUAUCAUCUAAAAAUAACCUCUUUCUCAUCUGAGGGGUAAACAUACCCAAAAGCUCAUAUACAUAACUGUGCAGGCCGACGAGGUAGCCAUGAACGUCUACAACCAACAAUACCAAACUGAACAUGUACACAGGGUUGGUAGGGCCACAAUACUAACAUACAAAAUACACAGGACUCGUCUACAAGUUUCUAGAGAUAAGUGAACUGUAUCAUGGUUGGGACAGGGUCUCGACCUACUCAUCAAACCAGUAUAUAUAAAUGGAUUCCAAGGUCUAGACCUGGUAACCCCGAGGAAGUGGAGCUUACCAACCAAGCUGAUGUUUGACUCUUGUCUACUGGAAAAGUCUAUCCAGCUGUCUAUCAGGACCUGCAUGCAUGAAAUACAACAUCCCCAACAAAAGGGACAUUAGUACGAAAUAAUGUACCGAGUAUGUAAGGCAACAAAAUAACUGAAAGAUGAAACAGAACUGAUAAUAUAAUAACUGAAAGUAACUGGGAGUCAAAUAAAAUCUAAAGAUAUGUUUACCUGCUGAUACUGACUCAAUUCUCUCAAUAUAGUAAGUAAAAUAGUUGUCCGACCCUAUAAGGCUCGCUAUGUGUAACUUCUCUGCCGUAAUAGGCUCGCUCAUAGGCGCUCAGCCGUACUAGGCUAUGUAUCUCGACCACUCUAGGCUCACUCAUAGGUUCUCGGCCAUAGUAGGUUCGGUAAUAACUUACCAUCUGAUAGGAGGUUGCCCAAUAGGGGCCUACCCACCGAUUAUAGCUUGAUGGUGGUCAAAAUACUAUAAUUUCCCAAUAGGGCACCUACCGAUUAUAGCUGGAUGGUGGUGAAAAUACUGUAAGACUAUAUAUAUAGACCCUCUUCUCUCUUGACUAGAAGAAAACAAUACUUAACUGAAUAUAAAGUCCCGAUAAGGGAGAAUAUGAUAACUUAUGAGACUAGGAUAAUGUAAAAAAAUUCAGGAAUACUAUGACGACCUAGUAGGUUAUUUUAAGAAGUAACAUCUCGUUUGGUGACAUAAGGUCUCGAUCAGCUCCGUAUUAUGUGUUAUGGCUUGUGUGUGUGGCCAAGUUCCGUUUUCAGAUAAUUCGGGGUCAAUCUUGAAGAAGGAUUCUUGUUUUAAAAGCUUAAGCGAGGAGUUGACUGGAGUUUUGACUUUUGUGUAGACGACUACGAAAUGGAAUUUGAUGAUUCCAGUGAAUUUGUAUGGUGAUUUUGGAGUUAGGCAGGCACUCAGAUUUGGAAUUGGAGGUCCGUAGGGUAAAUUGAAGCAUUUCGGCAAAAAUUAGAAAGUUGAAAGUUUGGAAGGUUGAGAGGUUUGAACAAGAGUUGACUUUGGUGAUAUCAGGGUCAGAAUGAAAUUCUAAGAGUUGUAUUAGCUCCGUUAUGUCAUUUGAAAAUUUGAUGCAAAAUUUAAUGUCAUUCUGGGUUGAUUUGAUAUGAUUCGACGCGAGUUGUAGAAGUUGAAAGUUUAUUAAGUUUGAUUUGAGGUGUGAUUCAUCAUUUCAUCGUUAUUUUAUGUUAUUUGAGGCCUCGAGUAGGUCUGUGUUGUGUUAUAGGACUUGUUGGUAUGUUCAGAAGAGGUCCCGAGUGGCUUGGGUGAGUUUCAGAUAGGUUUAGGUUGUGUUGCGCUUGUUUAUGAUGCUUUGGUAUCGUUUCUUCAAGCAUAAAUUGUUAUACAUUAAUAAAAUGAGAUCUAAAUUCAGUUGUUAUUAAAACAUUAGAUCCGUAUCGUAAUUAUGGAGCCAUAGCAAAAAGAAUCGUCGAAUUUGGACGUCGUAUGAGAGAGUUAUGCUCAUUUCCAUGUCGGUGAGACUGCUAGUUUCUGGUGUAGCCGCAAUUACGAACAAUUUUGUUCGCAAUUGCGAAUAUUUUGCCUCAAUUGCGAUAUUUUCCAGCCCGUUCUUGUUUGCAAUUGCGAAGGCUUCUUCGCUUUUGCGAGGGUUCGCAAUUGCGAACCCUGGAUCGCAAAUGCGACAUCUGCAGCUUGUUUUUAGAUGUGUAAUUCAGGUUUUUGCUUCAUUUUGUGAUAUUAUUGAACCCUAGGUCCGAGAGUGGGCAAUUUUGAGAGAUAAAUUUAAUCUAACAUCGUUGGGUAAGUGCUCUGGUUCAAUUUUUAUGUAUAUUUCAUGAUUUGUUUUGAGUUUUAACAUCAAAACGGUGUGAAUCAAAGUGAAAAAAAUGGGAAUUUUUGAAGAAAUCUUUCAAAAUGUAAAAUGAUGAUCUGAGAAAUGAAUUGGUAUUGGAAUUUUAUAAUAUUGGUAUGGUUGAACUCGUAUCGUAACGAGUGUUUGGAUCUUGUUAAUUUUAUCGGAUUUCAAGGUGCGGGCUUGGGGGUUGACUUUUAAGUUGACUUUUUAGUUUUUGUUAAAGAUCGAAGUUUCAUUAUCCGAAAUUGUUUUCUAUGAGUUUUAUUUAUGGAUUGAAGUUAUUUUGGCUAGAUUUGAGCCGUUAGGAAGUUAUGUCACUUGAGAGGGCCAUUUUAGAGUAUCGGCCUAGCUUCUUUGAGGUAAGCAUCUUGCCUAACUUUGUGUGGGGAAACUACCCCUUAGGAUCUGAGUCUUUGGUGCAUAUUGUGUCAUGUAAAGUCCAUGUACGCGAGGUGACGAGUACGUGCUCGAACUUAUUUGUAGAAAGUUGACAAUCUAGGGCUCUUACGUUCUUAUGUUCAUCAUAUAUGAAGUUGUUUGGUUAUGUUAAGUUCCCCAUUUACUAGUUUCACCUUUACGUGUCUUAAUUAGAAUUAAUUGCUUCAUGUUCCACUCUUAUUGCCUAUUUGACUCUUGUGUGCCUCAACUGAAGUGUUGCCCUUUUGAUUGCUAUAUUAUCAUUUCCUAAUUGCUUAUCCGUAAUUGAAAUUAUUAUUAUCGCUUCUGUAAUUGUAUAUCUUUAAUUGAGGUUAUUGUUGCCCUUUCCAUAAGUUGCUUAUCCUUAAUUGAAUUUGUGGUACCUCUUUUGUAAUUUCUCAAACCUAAAUGAAGUUUAAUUAUCCGUUACCAUAGUUGACUUAUCCAUAUUUGAAAGUAUUGACUCAUGUUAUUUCCCUUGUUGUCGAAUUGUACUUUUGUGGAAUCAUUUGUUACAUAUUAUUUCUCCCUUGUUGAGCUAUUCUUAUUGAGACUAGUAUUCUCUAUUGUGUUUAUUCUUUGUGAGCUCGUUCAAAGCUCUUGAGUUGAUUUACUUGCCAUAUUCUCGUGUUAUUGUUGUUGUGCUCGGUUUGUUGAGCCGAGGGCAAUGCGCGGUGGUGGUAUUGACAUUGUUUAGAGGAAAUGUUGUGAAAUAUGGGCACAUGUUGUGAAGGUCAUUCUAUUGUGUUGUUGUGUUUUUGGCACGUGAUCAUGUUGGGAGAAUUUGUUUGGGUGUUUGCACGAGGUUUCUGUCGUGCUAUUGCUAUUAUUAAUGUUGCACAUGCGGCUUGACAAGGCGGGCUAUAUCUGUGUGUUUGUGCAUGUGGCGAGACAAGGUGGGCUAUGUCGGGGAUUGAAUUGUGAUGAUUUGUGAUGGCCUGGGGGUAUUGUUGUUGUUGUUGAUAUUUGUAUAGUGGCGUGCCUAACUUGUAUGAGUUUUACCUUAUGCAAAAUCAUGGGAAUUGUUUCUUAUAUGCCAUUCAUUUCCUCUAAUCUUGCUCGUUGGCCUGAACUAUGAUAGAACACUGGCACAAGCAUAUACGUAAUUAACCAUCCCUAUCGGUUUAAGAAGAUGGAUUCUGAUGUUAUUGAUCAUUCAAACAUACCCUUGUCUACUUGACUUCUAUGUGAGAAUUGUUCUACUGGCACACGAGUCGUCUAUGUAGUUACGAGUUGUAAUGAGGGCACGAGAUGCCAAGUGAUUAGGGUUCACGAAUUGGGACCUAUGAAUUGUGAUUAUUUUGAGGUUUGGUACCUCGUGGAGAUUAUUGGAUCAACCUGGUGUGAAAGCGGUUAUUCUUAUCGAGCUGUUGUUUGUCUUUCCUUUAUUUGUUUUAACCAGAUUUAAAUAGUGUUCAGCUUACUCUACUGUGUUAUUACUUGUUGUGUCCCGCUGCUAAUUGUUGCUUCUAUUUCCUACUACAAGUUCUGUAUUAUUGUUGUCAUUAUGUGUAGUUUUGUAGAAAUAUCGUACUAUGUCACCUAUACUUGUCCAGGUUAUUUAGUCUAGUAGGUGUCUUGACUUUCCCUCAUCACUACUCCACUGAGGUUACUCUUGAUACUUACUGGUACCGCUGUGGUGUACUCAUACUACGCUUCUCCAUAUUUUUGUGCAGAUCUAGGUAUUUCGGAGUCAGUCGAUCGCUAGCUAGAUGUUCGGAUCUUGUUGUGGAGACUCAAGGUAAACCUGCUGCUAUGUUCGCAGGCAUCAGAGUCACCUUCUGAUAUUGUACUUGCAUUGUUUUAUCUCUAUUUUGAAACAGUUGUAUUUAGAGGUUUUUCUAGCAAACUCAGUAGAGCUUAUGACUUGUACUACCGAUUUUGGGAUUGUAGGUUUUGUAUGGAGAUUUCUAUUUUGUAUUGGUCCGUCAUUAGUUAAAUAUAGUUAUUAUUUCAGCGAAUGUUAGGCUUACCUAGUCCCUAAGACUAGGUGCCAUCACGGCAUCCUACGGAGGGAAAAUUAGGGUCAUGACAAAUACGAACUUCUCUUUAUGUCUCGUUAUCAAACACAUGCAGUUACGUGAUCAUGCCAAAAUGAAGGAAAGGUUUAGACUUAACAUACCUUAAACCCGUUGAGUCCUUGAUAGCUUCCAAGCAACUCUUCAAACAACUCAACUCAAUCUACCAUAGCAUAAGGAGAUUCAGAAUCUGUGCUGAGUAAAAGCUAAGUCCGUAACUGAAGCUACUAGCUCAUUUAUGUAAAUUCGGAAGCAUCUCCCCCGUAACAAGGGCUUACUCCAAUACCAUAUAAGAACAAAAAAAACUAGAAAAAUCCAGCAAUAUAUAAGUAUCAAUAACAAGACACCAUAUAACACCAACAAGUCACAACUACUUCAGGACGAGCGGCAAGCUUCGAUUGGAACCCGUAUACUCCAUAUCACCUCUUAUAGACUUCUUACUUUAACAGUAUCAUUAACAUGAUAAUGAAUUCAUUCAUAAAUGAUUCUAGCCUUAUACCAUAUAUUCAUAACAAAGAAAAUAAUUCACAACUUCAAGUAUCCUCAAUUAGCAACUUUAUUCACUAGUUCAUGUCUAGUCCAUCCAUUUAACUUAAUCAACAUCAAUAUAAUAUUAAGCACAUGCAAGAACACAAUAUACUUACCUACUACAGUGGGUUCAAGUCAAAAUCCAAGUUAUAUUUAGCUUACAACAGUCCUCAAUGGCAAUACAACACCAUAGAAGCGACUUAAGCUAAUCUUCACUUCCAAUCUCAAGUUUCAUUUGUUUCUUUCAUCACUUAAAUUGAUAAACAUAUGGACAUGCAUAAAAACAUAAACCAUAUCAUAAUCAAGUUAUUUCCCCCAAGUUUCAGCCAUAACAACAUAUGUGUGUGUAUAUAUAUAUAUAUAUAGCCUUAAAACAACCCAACAAAAGAUAAUAAUAUCUCUCCCUCUUUCAAGUGCUAUCUUGUAAUCGUUCACUCUAACACCACAACCAACAUGUAAUUAACCUUAAAAAUUAUCAAAAGAAUGUUAAACAUACCUUAGGCAGUAGAUAACAUUCGAACCCUAAGCUUAACUUAGCUCACCAUCAUCCUUAUUUAUAUCACAUCAUCAUAGAGGGGUUAUUCUUCACCUUUGGCUAACUUUGAUGUUGGAUUAUGGUGUAUCUUUUUGGAAUUUAUUUGGAACCUUGGGGGAGCUGUUUAUGAGGGUUUGGAGAGUGUGAGUAUGGAAAGAGGUCUAAAAAGGAGCAAAUCUCAUCCGAAAAACGAGAUAAAAACAAAUGAAGGUCGGCUACUGACCAUUCUGGCUCGCUCAUUUGUUCUGCUUUCUUAAGGUGUUUUGCCAUCUUCUGUUUUGUUUUUUAAUUUAUUGUUAUUAGUGGGCCCCAUACCAAAAACAUAAAUAUCUUUCUACUCCGAUGUCAUAUUGACAAAUGGUUUAAUGCCUUAGAAGCUAGACUCGUAGAUAUACAAUUUGGUAGGUGGAGCAUCCAAUAAUUCCAAGUAUAAUGGGAGAAAAACUCAGCUACAUUUGACCUAAUUUUCAGCACAUUUAUGAAUGUAACUUGUGAUGACCUUUACUAACUUUUAUUUGUGACGACCCAAAAGGUCAUCUCUUGUUUUAGAAGUCAAGUCUAUAUUCUGAGGCCUUAAAAACCUCUUCUAUCUCACCUCAAUUUGCAUGCACAGUUCGAGCACGUUUCCGUAAAACUUUUAUGUAAAAUUUAAGAGAAAUAUUGAAUUUAGACUUAAAAUUAAUUAAAGUUGACUUCAGUCAAUAUUUUCUGUAAACGGACCCGUACCCAUGAUUUGACGAUCCUGUAGAGUCCGUAGUAAAAUAUGAGACUUGGGCGUAUGCCCGGAAUCAAAUUCUGAUGCCCCUAGCCUGAGAAAAGAAUUUUUAAAGAAAAUUAUUUGCUGGAAAAUAUAAAGACUUUUGGAAAUGAAAUGGUAUGUGUUCUUGAUAUUAUCGGGCCCGUAUUUUUAGUUCCAGAGCAUGGUACAGGUUUAAAAUAAUAUUUAAGUCGAAUCUGUGAAAUUUGGUAAGAAUCGGAGUUGAUUUGAUAUAAAUCGGACCUUAGGUUGAGAAAAUAGAAAAUUUGAACAAUCUUAUAAAUUUCAUGAAUUUGAGGUUAAAUUCAUAGUUGUUGAUGUUAUUUUGAUGAUUUAAUCGCACGAGCAAGUCCGUAUGAUUUUUUGGACUUGAAAGAAAUCGAUGAUUUUUGCAAAAGAGGUUCGAGAACAGUGUAAAACAUAGAAGGAGCAGACACGAAUCAUUUAAAAAUAGCCCAGAUCUAAGAGAUACAAACGAAAAUCAGGGUUUCAAAAGAAACUCAAAUAGAGAUGGAAGAACCUGCUUAGAACUUCAAAGAUCUUAACCAAUAUAGUGUGAUUUUGCUCAAAAUCACACUAGAGAAGCCAUGAACAGCCAAAACAGCAACCCUAGAGGGUGGUCACCGAAGAAGACCGGAGAAGGGAGGCGGUUGAAAAGGAUUUAGGGUUAGGUUGAUAGAAGAGAGGAGAUGAGAGCAUUUGAAGGCG
rnacentral:lncRNA from 1 species